rnacentral:rRNA from 1 species
CGUUCCCGGGUCUUGUACACACCGCCCGUCACACCAUGGGAGCGGGACGUACCAGAAGUAGGUAGGCUAACCGCAAGGGGGCCGCUUACCACGGUGACGUUUCGUGACUGGGGUG